rnacentral:rRNA from 1 species
AGAAUCAACGCUGGCGGCGUGCCUAACACAUGCAAGUCGAACGAGAAAGGGGAGCAAUCCCUGAGUACAGUGGCGACCGGGUGAGUAACACGUGACUAACCUACCCUCGAGUGUGGAAUAACAUCGGGAAACCGAUGCUAAUACCGCAUAACAUCGCAAGAUCAAAGGAGUAAUCCGCUUGAGGAGGGGGUCGCGGCUGAUUAGCUAGUUGGCGGGGUAAUGGCCCACCAAGGCGAAGAUCGGUAUCCGGCCUGAGAGGGCGCACGGACACACUGGAACUGAAACACGGUCCAGACUCCUACGGGAGGCAGCAGUGGGGAAUUUUGCGCAAUGGGGGAAACCCUGACGCAGCAACGCCGCGUGGAGGAUGAAGCCCCUUGGGGCCGUAAACUCCUUUCGACCAAGACGAUAAUGACGGUACUGGUGGAAGAAGCACCGGCUAACUCUGUGCCAGCAGCCGC